GCCCGGUUGGCUCAGUCGGUAGAGCGUGUGACUCUUAGUAUCUCGACACAGGGAAUAUAAUGGAAUCUCAAGGUCGCGAGUUCGAGCCUCGCAUCGGGCU